rnacentral:rRNA from 1 species
CUCUUGGGUCGUAAACCUCUUUUGUUAGGGAAGAACACAAUGACGGUACCUAACGAAUCAGCCUCGGCUAACUCCGUGCCAGCAGCCGCGGUAAUACGGAGGAGGCAAGCGUUAUCCGGAAUUAUUGGGCGUAAAGCGUCCGCAGGUGGCGAUUCAAGUCUGCGGUCAAAGACUGGGGCUUAACCCUGGAAAGGCCGUGGAAACUGAAAAGCUAGAGUGCAGUAGGGGUAGAGGGAAUUCCCGGUGUAGCGGUGAAAUGCGUAGAGCUCGGGAAGAACAUCGGUGGCGAAAGCGCUCUGCUGGACUGCAACUGACACUCAGGGACGAAAGCUAGGGGAGCGAAUGGGAUUAGAUACCCCAGUAGUCCUAGCCGUAAACGAUGGAUACUAGGUGUGGCUUGUAUCGACCCGAGCCGUGCCGUAGCUAACGCGUUAAGUAUCCCGCCUGGGGAGUACGCACGCAAGUGUGAAACUCAAAGGAAUUGACGGGGGCCCGCACAAGCGGUGGAGUAUGUGGUUUAAUUCGAUGCAACGCGAAGAACCUUACCAGGGCUUGACAUGUCCGGAAUCUCCUGGAAACGGGAGAGUGCCUUCGGGAGCCGGAACACAGGUGGUGCAUGGCUGUCGUCAGCUCGUGUCGUGAGAUGUUGGGUUAAGUCCCGCAACGAGCGCAACCCUCGUCUUUAGUUGCCAGCAUUAAGUUGGGCACUCUAGAGAGACUGCCGGUGACAAACCGGAGGAAGGUGGGGAUGACGUCAAGUCAGCAUGCCCCUUACGUCCUGGGCUACACACGUACUACAAUGCGACGGACAAAGGGCAGCAAGCCAGCGAUGGCAAGCCAAUCCCAUAAACCGUGGCUCAGUUCAGAUCGCAGGCUGCAACUCGCCUGCGUGAAGGAGGAAUCGCUAGUAAUUGCAGGUCAGCAUACUGCAGUGAAUUCGUUCCCGGGCCUUGUACACACCGCCCGUCACACCAUGGAAGUUGGCCACGCCCGAAGUCGUUACCCUAACCGUUCGCGGAGGGGGACGCCGAAGGCAGGGCUGAUGACUGGGGUGAAGUCGUAACAAGGUAGCCGUACCGGAAGGUGUGGCUGGAUCACCUCCUUUU